rnacentral:ncRNA from 2 species
UACAGAGGUCUCGAGCGUUAGGCGGAAUCACUGGGCUUAAAGCGUGUGUAGGUGGCGUGCUAAGUACCUUGUGAAAUCCCACGGCUCAACCGUGGAACUGCUUGGUAUACUGGCUCGCUUGAGCAACAUAGGGGCUACCGGAACAAAUGGUGGAGCGGUGAAAUGCGUAGAUAUCAUUUGGAACGCCAAUGGUGAAAACAGGUAGCUGGGUGUUUGCUGACACUGAGACACGAAAGCCAGGGGAGCGAACGGG